rnacentral:rRNA from 1 species
ACUCCUACGGGAGGCAGCAGUGGGGAAUAUUGCACAAUGGGGGAAACCCUGAUGCAGCCAUGCCGCGUGUGUGAAGAAGGCCUUCGGUUGUAAAGCACUUUCAGUAGGGAGGAAGGUAGUGUAGUUAACACCUGCACUAUUUGACGUUACCUACAGAAGAAGCACCGGCUAACUCCGUGCCAGCAGCCGCGGUAAUACGGAGGGUGCGAGCGUUAAUCGGAAUUACUGGGCGUAAAGCGCAUGCAGGCGGCCUGUUAAGUCAGAUGUGAAAGCCCGGGGCUUAACCUCGGAAUUGCAUUUGAAACUGGCAGGCUAGAGUCUUGUAGAGGGGGGUAGAAUUUCAGGUGUAGCGGUGAAAUGCGUAGAGAUCUGAAGGAUACCGGUGGCGAAGGCGGCCCCCUGGACAGAUACUGACACUCAGAUGCGAAAGCGUGGGGGAGCAAACA